rnacentral:ncRNA from 1 species
AUAAAAUCAGUGAGCAAAAGUAGUACGGUAAAUGAUUUCUUUACAGAGAGCCGGCGUUGGUGGAAGCCGGUAAGAUAGUUUAUUCGGAAUGGAUUUGUCAGAUGCAAAGUGAACAAUAGUAGCGGAUGCCGUUUUCCCACGUUACAGGGACGAGGAUAUCGAAGGAGACUUCUGUAUCCAAGAGGUUAUGUUUGAAUUAGUGGCGGAUAUUUUCUAAUUGAAAAUAUCCGCUUUUUUAGUUACUUGCAGGUAAAAAGCAGACAUAGCGAAGAUGGGUGGCACCACGCGAUAAGCGUCCCUGAC